ACCAGUAACUAUAUCACCAUGUAACUCACAACUGGCAACCUACUGAAGCUGCGCAGGUGUGAGCCUGGCCAGUACCUGGAUGGGAAACCUCCUGGGAAGGCAAGGUUGCUGCUGGAA
rnacentral:rRNA from 1 species